AUUGAACGCUGGCGGCAUGCUUUACACAUGCAAGUCGAACGGCAGCACAGGGAGCUUGCUCCUGGGUGGCGAGUGGCGAACGGGUGAGUAAUGUAUCGGAACGUGCCUGGUAGUGGGGGAUAACUACUCGAAAGAGUGGCUAAUACCGCAUGAGAUCUUUGGAUGAAAGCGGGGGACCUUCGGGCCUCGUGCUACUGGAGCGGCCGAUAUCAGAUUAGGUUGUUGGUGGGGUAAAGGCCUACCAAGCCUGCGAUCUGUAGCUGGUCUGAGAGGACGACCAACCACACUGGGACUGAGACACGGCCCAGACUCCUACGGGAGGCAGCAGUGGGGAAUUUUGGACAAUGGGCGCAAGCCUGAUCCAGCAAUGCCGCGUGCAGGACGAAGGCCUUCGGGUUGUAAACUGCUUUUGUACAGAACGAAAAGUCUCUGGCUAAUAUCUAGAGAUCAUGACGGUACUGUAAGAAUAAGCACCGGCUAACUACGUG
rnacentral:rRNA from 1 species